GACGAACGCUGGCGGCGUGCUUAACACAUGCAAGUCGAACGGAAAGGCCCUGCUUUUGUGGGGUGCUCGAGUGGCGAACGGGUGAGUAACACGUGAGUAACCUGCCCUUGACUUUGGGAUAACUUCAGGAAACUGGGGCUAAUACCGGAUAGGAGCUCCUGCUGCAUGGUGGGGGUUGGAAAGUUUCGGCGGUUGGGGAUGGACUCGCGGCUUAUCAGCUUGUUGGUGGGGUAGUGGCUUACCAAGGCUUUGACGGGUAGCCGGCCUGAGAGGGUGACCGGCCACAUUGGGACUGAGAUACGGCCCAGACUCCUACGGGAGGCAGCAGUGGGGAAUAUUGCACAAUGGGCGGAAGCCUGAUGCAGCAACGCCGCGUGCGGGAUGACGGCCUUCGGGUUGUAAACCGCUUUCGCCUGUGACGAAGCGUGAGUGACGGUAAUGGGUAAAGAAGCACCGGCUAACUACGUGCCAGCAGCCGCGGUGAUACGUAGGGCGCGAGCGUUGUCCGGAUUUAUUGGGCGUAAAGGGCUCGUAGGUGGUUGAUCGCGUCGGAAGUGUAAUCUUGGGGCUUAACCCUGAGCGUGCUUUCGAUACGGGUUGACUUGAGGAAGGUAGGGGAGAAUGGAAUUCCUGGUGGAGCGGUGGAAUGCGCAGAUAUCAGGAGGAACACCAGUGGCGAAGGCGGUUCUCUGGGCCUUUCCUGACGCUGAGGAGCGAAAGCGUGGGGAGCGAACAGGCUUAGAUACCCUGGUAGUCCACGCUGUAAACGGUGGGUACUAGGUGUGGGGUCCAUUCCACGGGUUCCGUGCCGUAGCUAACGCUUUAAGUACCCCGCCUGGGGAGUACGGCCGCAAGGCUAAAACUCAAAGGAAUUGACGGGGCCCCGCACAAGCGGCGGAGCAUGCGGAUUAAUUCGAUGCAACGCGUAGAACCUUACCUGGGUUUGACAUGGAUCGGGAGCGCUCAGAGAUGGGUGUGCCUCUUUUGGGGUCGGUUCACAGGUGGUGCAUGGCUGUCGUCAGCUCGUGUCGUGAGAUGUUGGGUUAAGUCCCGCAACGAGCGCAACCCUUGUUCACUGUUGCCAGCACGUUAUGGUGGGGACUCAGUGGAGACCGCCGGGGUCAACUCGGAGGAAGGUGGGGAUGACGUCAAGUCAUCAUGCCCCUUAUGUCCAGGGCUUCACGCAUGCUACAAUGGCUGGUACAGAGAGUGGCGAGCCUGUGAGGGUGAGCGAAUCUCGGAAAGCCGGUCUCAGUUCGGAUUGGGGUCUGCAACUCGACCUCAUGAAGUCGGAGUCGCUAGUAAUCGCAGAUCAGCAACGCUGCGGUGAAUACGUUCCCGGG
rnacentral:rRNA from 1 species